AUUGAACGCUGGCGGCGGGCCUAACACAUGCAAGUCGAGCGUGCGGAGGACGGGUGAGUAAUGGCUGGGAACCUGCCUGAUGGAUGGGGAUAACUGCGGGACACGGCUGCUAAAACCGCAUACCAUCAGAUGUGCCCCGUGGGCAUUUGCUAGUCGGUGGGUUAACGGCUCACCUGGGCGACGAUCCCUCGCUGGUCUGAGAGGAUGACAAGCCACACGGGAACUGAGACACGGUCCAGACUCCUACGGGAGGCAGCAGUGGGGAAUAUUGCACAAGGGGCGAAAGCCUGAUGCAGCAAUGCCGCGUGGGUGAAGAAGGUCUUCGGGUUGUAAAGCACUUUCAGCGGGGAGGCGUUACCUGCAGAAGAAGCACCGGCUAACUCCGUGCCAGCAGCCGCGGUAAUUC
rnacentral:rRNA from 1 species